GGUUGUGGCUCAGUGGUAGAGCACUUGCCUUGCAGUGUGAGGCACUGGGUUCGAUCCCCGGCACCA
rnacentral:tRNA from 1 species